CACGUAGGGGCGAGCGUUGUCCGGAAUUACUGGGUGUAAAGGGAGCGCAGACGGAACUGCAAGUCUGAUGUGAAAGCCCGGGGCUCAACCGCGGGACUGCAUUGGAAACUGUAGAUCUGGAGUGCCGGAGGGGCAAGCGGAAUUCCUGGUGUAGCGGUGAAAUGCGUAGAUAUCAGGAGGAACACCGGCGGCGAAGGCGGCUUGCUGGACGGCAACUGACGUUGAGGCUCGAAAGCGUGGGGAGCAAACAGGAUUAGAUACCCCCGUAGU
rnacentral:rRNA from 1 species